GCCUGCGUAGAGUCCCAGUUUAGCCCCUUUAUCGUCCCCCCCCCUACCCCCAAAUCUUCCCUACUCUGAAUUGGGUGAAGCAGCCGACCACGGCGCGUGUUCCCCGCUCCCGGCUGGGCCUCCCCGCGCCCUGCGGUGGGCGAUGCUCCCGGGUCCGCAGAGCAGCCGGGAGCGCGGGGCGUGGGCCCCGGCGAGCAGGCACGUAGGCGCCCGGGAGCCACGCCGGAGUGGGCGGGCAGAUGGGCCUGGGCGCUCAUCCGCCGUCCUCGCCUUCCGUGUGGGGAGAGAAACCGCAUCACUGAGCUGCCCUUCGGGUCGCACAGUGUGUGUGGCGCGCGCACCCUUCUCAUCGUGGUGCUCGGGCUUUACGCCCCAAGAGGAGAAGAGGAGAAGUGCCUCUGGGACGAGCCGGUUGGAAGGGCUCAGCGUCCUCGGUCAAGUGUCUGCCGGUCGUGGCGGGUGCGCGCGGGAGAGAGCCGCCUGCCCCGUUCGGGUGCAUCCCUGGGCGGAGGGAAGUGGCCCGAGUGAGACGCCGGGAAUUUUGAGCAAGAGGUACCUCUACAAGGAUGGAAUUCAUAUACGAGAUAAGCAGACAUUCAAAGGACUCAUCCUUGGAACAGCUCUCUCCCAGUGUUUACUCAACUGCUUAGGGACACAAGUGUAGAAGUUGAAAAGAACGUGAACAUUUCAUGUCAGGCUCGGGGAGAACCAUAGCCCAUAAUUACAUGGAAUAAGGUGCAGUGCAAUGGCCGUGUUUCUGUGUGGCAGGCAGAGCUACUUGCUAUGGUGAUUCAGGAGCCAGACCCCUUUCUCGGGUUCUGCCGUUGCUGGGGGCUGCAGGUGUACAUGUUAUGAGAGGGUGCGGAUGACACCUUACCAUCUGUGACAGUGGACAGUUACAGUCGCUGAGUGAGUUCCAUCCCCGGGAUGGGGCUGCAUGCAAUCCUGCGGAGGAAAACGGCAGUGAAUGGACACCAGCCGGAACAACCUCCCUCCCCGGCGCGGGCCCUCCUCCCGAGCCAGGCUCACUGCUUCCCGAACUUUCUCCCCCGAGGAUGAGCUCUCUUCCCAGAUGGCCUCAGCUCCUUUGAAAUGCAGUAACACAGAAUGCUCCUGGACGGCACUUCAUAAAAGCACAAAUCACGUUCUUCACUUCACUGUGCGUCGUGCACGUGUCUGUAAGCUGGGGCUCUCUCGGGUCCCGUCUGCUGCAGGAUGGGCGGUGGGGCUACGUGGAAUCAUCGCGCCCAGGUAACUGGAGUCGACACUCACCUGCUUCCAUAAACGCACACAUUCCUGUCCUACUACGGGUUCCCGUGGUCCAGUUUCCUACAAGUACACUUCUUUUACUGGGCGAGAACCUGACCACUGGUGAUGACAGCAGAGCCAGUCCUCACACAAGCAGUUCUGACCUCUGCCUCAGUUCCUUUAGCUGGCCUGAUGGACGAUUAGAUGCUACCUGAUGGGGUGCCCUGUCUCCUGGUCCAGCUCUGCUCCCACGCACAAAAAGCUCAAACUAAAAGUUCAGUGGAUGCUGGUAGACUUUUUAUCUGGAGAUAAAGGAAGGUCCUGAACUGAGGUGAGAAAAUGGACUCUCUCAUCUGAAUUUCUCCUCCAAAAUUGUUACCUGAUAACCAGUAUCAGUGACAGUUAACCACAGAGGAUGAAAAGGAUUAUCUGGAGGUGUGCACCCACAGCAGCUCUGCAGCCCAGCAAUUAAACUUUGCAGUAGUAGCCAGGUGGGAUCUUAGUUCCCCGACCAGGGAUCGAACCCGUGCCCCCUGCAGUGGGAGCACGGAGUCUUAACUGCUGGACCGCCAGGGAAGUCCUCAAGUGUAUCUCUUCUCCUCCACGGUACCACCAUAGCCUCUCCCAGGUGGCCGUCAGCUCUCCUCUGGAUUCUACAGUAUCUUCCAAACUGGCCUCCUUAUACCAGCUCUCAACUCCUCACCCUCACUCGCUAGAAGGAUCCUAGUAGAAGGAUUUUGUUUUUCAAAUACGUAUCUAAUUAUGCCACUCAUUCCCCUGUGUCACAGUUACCUCCCCUCCACCUUCUCAGAAUGUUUGCUAGCUGGGAUGCUCUCGGGAUAAGACCCGGCCAGUGUGGCUGUGCUGGGUGUUGCCUCCCCGCCCUCAUGUGCUCCCUUCCAUCAGCCACACCUUUGGACCACCUUCUGUGCUCGCUGUGAUGUUAUCUCUUCCCCCUCUUUCUCCGGGUCAUGCCACUCUUCCUUCCUAUGUGAGCUCAUCACCAUGCGCUCAUGGGAGAACCCUGUACUUUCCUCCUUGGGCUGUUCUCUUUAUAAUAUAAAAUUACGUCACUUUGUAGUCCUACUUGAGACUUACUUUAAAGAAUGUAACUGUGUAUUUAUCUGAGUGGCUCUUUUAUUAAAGUCAUUCUAGCCUACCGACUGCAGAUCCCAGGAGGGAAGGAAACAAAGAAUUUUUGCCUAACAUAAUGCCUUUCAUAUUGUGGGUUUAAAAAUAUAUCUACCAAGGAAAAUGACUGAAUAAUCAGCAUUUAUGUGAUGAAAACAUAACUGGGCCAAGAAAAUGCUACUACAGUUACUGUCACAUGAAUAUCAGUUUGUUAAAUGAAGAGAUCAGUGUGGUGUGCCAUGAACAUAAAAAUAAACAAAAUGGAACAGAAUAAAUGGGUUCCAAAUUUAUUAUUUUUUAU